CAAGAACGAACGCUGGCGGCGCGUCUUAAGCAUGCAAGUCGAACGGCAAGAGGUAGCAAUACCUCCUAGAGUGGCGGACUGGUGAGUAACACGUGGGUGACAUACCCUUCAGAUGGGGAUAGCUAUUAGAAAUAGUAGAUUAUACCGAAUACGAGCACAGGGGUUAGAGAUCUGUGAGGAAAGGAGCUAAGGCUCCGCUGAAGGAAUGGCCUGCCGGCCCAUUAGCUAGUUGGUGAGGUAAGAGCCCACCAAGGCGAUGAUGGGUAUCCGGCCUUAGAGGGUGAACGGACACAUUGGGACUGAGAUACGGCCCAGACUCCUACGGGAGGCAGCAGCUAAGAAUAUUCCGCAAUGGACGAAAGUCUGACGGAGCGACGCCGCGGUGGAUGAAGAAGGCCGGAAGGUUGUAAAAUCCUUUUGAAACUGAAGAAUAAGCGUUGUAGGGAAUGACAGCGUGGUGACAGUAGGUUUUGAAUAAGCAACGGCUAAUUACGUGCCAGCCGCGGC
rnacentral:rRNA from 1 species